GACGAACGCUGGCGGCGUGCUUAACACAUGCAAGUCGAACGGUAAGGCCCUUCGGGGUACACGAGUGGCGAACGGGUGAGUAACACGUGGGUGAUCUGCCCUGCACUUCGGGAUAAGCCUGGGAAACUGGGUCUAAUACCGGAUAGGACCACUGCCUGCAUGGGUGGUGGUGGAAAGCUUUUGCGGUGUGGGAUGGGCCCGCGGCCUAUCCGCUUGUUGGUGGGGUGAUGGCCUACCAAGGCGACGACGGGUAGCCGGCCUGCGAGGGUGACCGGCCACACUGGGACUGAGGUACGGCCCAGACUCCUACGGGAGGCAGCAGUGGGGAAUAUUGCACAAUGGGCGCAAGCCUGAUGCAGCGACGCCGCGUGAGGGAUGACGGCCUUCGGGUUGUAAACCUCUUUCAGCACCGACGAAGCGCAAGUGACGGUAGGUGCAGAAGAAGGACCGGCCAACUACGUGCCAGCAGCCGCCGUAA
rnacentral:rRNA from 1 species